UGAUGGUUGAAGGUUAACUGUUCUUGAACCUGGUAGUGCGCGUCCCAUACCUUCUACCUGAUGGCAGCAGUGAGAAAGGAGCAAGGCCUGGGAGGCUCCACGGAGAGGAUGUUUCCUAUCACGACGGAGUCUAGAACCAAGGGCACAGCUGCAGCAUACAAGGACGUUGCUUUUGAACUGAGAAGAGGAGGAAUUGCUUUGGCUUGAGAGUGGUGGAUCUGUGGAAUUCAUUGCCACAUAUGGCUGUGGAGGCCAAGUCACUGGGUAUAUUAAAGCGGAUGAACAAGCCUCAUCACUUUAGCAGUCACUGUAACUUAUACAAAGUUCAGAGUUCAAAGUAAGUGUAUCACCAAAGUACAUAUAUGUCCACAUAAACAAGAUUCAUUUUCUUGAGGGAACACUCAACAAAUCCAUAAUUGAAUAAUAACCAUAACAGUAUCAAUGAAAGACCGCACCAACUUGGGUGCUCAAUCAGUGUGUGCAAGAGACAACAAACUGUACAAAUCAAAAAGGAAGAAAUAAUAAAAAAUAAAUAAGCAGUGAAUAUCGAGUACAUGAGACAAAGAGUCCAUGAAAGUGAGUCCAUUAGUUGUGGGAAGAGUUCAGUGAUGGGGGCCAGUGAAGCUGACUGAAGUUAUCCCCUCUGGCUCAAGAGCCUGAUGGUUGAGGGCUAGUAACUGUUCCUGAACUUGGUGGUGUGAGUCCUGAGGCUCAUGUACCUCUUCCUGAUGACAGCAGCAAGAAGACAGCGCACCCUGGGUGAUGUAGGUCCCUAAUAAUGGAUGCUGCUUUCUUGAGACAGCGUUUUGUGUAGAGGAGCCCAGUGGUGGGAAGGGUUUUACCGGUGAUGGGCUGGCCCAUAUCCACUACGAGUUGUAGGAUUUUCCAUUCCAAGCUAUGAUGCAACCAGUCAAUAUACUUUUCACUACACUACUAUAGAAAUUUGCCAUAAUUUCAGAUGUCAUGUUGAAUCUCCACAAACUCCUAAGGAAAAUAGAGGUGCCGCUGUGCUUUCUUUGUAAUUGCACUUAUAUGCUGGGCCCGGGACAAGUCCUCUGAAAUAAUAACACUGAGGAAUUUGAAGUUGCUGACUCUCUGCACCUCCGAUCCUCCAGUGAGGACUGGCUCAUGGACUUCUGGCUUCUCCUCCUCCUGAGGUCAAUAAUCUGCUCGUUGGCCUUGUUGUGGCACCACUCAGCCAGAUUUUCAAGCUCCUUCCUUACUGCUGAUCCAUCACCACCUUUGAUUCGGCCCAGACAGCGGAGUCAUCAGCAAACUUGAAUAUGGCACUGGAGCUGUGCUUAGCCGCACAAGCAUCAACACACACACACACACGCAUGCAGAGGCAUCCGCUGGAGCAUAUAGAGAAAACUGCAACUCAAUGACGUACAAGUGAAACAUUUAAGGACUUUUGUGUCCUUGAGCCCCAGUUUAACUUCCCCUGUCUAGAUACACCCGGACAAGUAUUUAGUUCUGAUGAAAGUUGCCCUUUCUAGAUACACCCGGACAAGACUUUAGUUCUGAUGAAAGAUCAACAACUAGGAAGAGUGAUUUUUCUCUCUCCAUGGAUACUGCCUUUCUGCAUUUCACAUUUUAUUUUGUAUAUCCAGCAACCACAUGGCUUUGCUCUGUAUUAACACACACAAUGUGCUGGAGGAACUCAGCGGAUCAGACAACAUCUAAAGAGGGGGAUUAACAGCUGAUGUUUCAGGCCAGGUCCCUUCAUCAGGACUCAUGAUUUGCUCUGUAUUUCUUAAGUAACUAACAGCCCUUGGAAUAUUCCUGUCACAUUAAUAAAUUACUUAGCCAGCACAGUCUGUACCAAUGACCAAACCCAGCAAUCUUCAGCCUCCUCCUGUGUAAGAUCAAAAUAAAAUUACCCUGUCACCUCCUGCAAAAUACUUUUUAAAACGUUAGUCAGUCCUCAAGCAGUGAGAGCAAGAGUUGCAGAAUUAAAGAUUUCACCCGAAUCUCCUCUCGCAAACUCAUCAACAAUAAUUAAUUGAUUGCUUGGAAGUGAUAUCCUGACAAUAAUCGACCACGGCCAGGAAGAGCCAACGUGCAAGUGACUCAUUACAUCACUUGAACUGCUCCCGGAGAUUACAGCUGGGUAAUUACUCAAAACAACAAAAACGCACCUCCCAAGAAGACGUCAAAGGAGGCCAUUAAAGCCACCAAUGUUCUUGCACCUCAACACUAGCAACGCAACAGGUAUGAUUGUUUGCAGUAUCAGUGAUGGUGAGAGGGCACAGGCGGCUCUCUGCUUUUCAAUAUACACUCGGUCAUCUCACUUUAUUAGACACCUCCUAAUACUGAGUGUAUGAUCACAGUCCCUUGCUGCUGUGGCCCAUCCACUUCCGGGCUUGAUUUGUUUUGCAUUCAGAGAUGCUCUUCUGCGCACCACUGUUUUAGCGUGUGGCUAUUUGAGUCUUCCUGUCCGCUUUAACCCCUGGCCGUUCUCCUCUGACCUCUCUCACUGACAAGGCACUUUCACCCACAUACUGCUGCUCACUAGAAUUUUUUUUUUGUUUUUGCACUGUCCUUUGUAAACUGUGGAGACUGUUGUCAGUGAAAACCCCAGGAGAUCAGCAGUUUCUGAGAUACUCAAUCUACCCUGUCUGGCACCAACAAUCAUUCCACAGUCAAAGUCUGUUAGAUCACAUUUCUUCCCCAUUCUGAUGUUUGGCCUGAACAACAGCUGAACCCCUUGACCAUGUCUGCAUGCUUUAUGCAUAGAGUUGCUGCCACAUGAUUGGCUGAUUAGAUAUUUACAUUAACAAGCAUGGGUACAGGUGUACCUAACGUAACACUCUGGAAAAGGUUUCCCUGCCAAUGUAAUGGUCUUUCUGUAGAAGCAGUAUUUGGGUUAUGGCUAAUGAUAAUGGGUGCUUUGGAGUGUGAGCCAUCCAAUCAUGAGAGAAGGUUUUUAAGUUAAGUGCCUGACACUGGAGUGAGCUGGGAUCCUUUGUUCAGCGAAAGAUGAAGAGAGAAGAUGCUGGAGAGAAGUGGUCAUAGGAUUUGACCCAGUGGGGGACUGUAAUUCGAAGGAGCAAGGGUGCCGACAUCGACUGAGGAUCGGAGAAUAUGUCUGUCAGAAGCUGAGCUCCAGCUUGUGCACAUUUGACUGUUUAAUUAUAAUGGGCCCAUCUUGGUUUUUGCUUCCUUUUCUUUACUAACCCUUUUUAGUUCAGUUAAGAUUUAUAAGUAUAAUUCCUUUAAUCAUAUGCAGUGUGCUGUCUGUUGGCCCUGAGUUGUAACAGGGUAAACUGGGGUUUGGGGCGGGACUGAGUGUGUAUUCCCUAGAUCUACGCAGCCCAAAGAAACCGGGUGGGGGAGGGAGGGGGUGGUUUCACUAAUAAAGUGGCUACUGGGAGUAUGUUGUAGAUCAUUUGGAGUCAGCUUGGUUUACAGGUGGGCUCUGAGUCAGAAGCUUGAGGCUUCAAACCCCUCUCUGGUCACUUGGUGCAGGCUGGCACCUUCAGUGAGGCCUUAAAUCCACACCUAACCUGCAUCCAAAGGGAAGGCAAAGAUAAAGAUUAGCUUUAUUUGUCACAUGCGCAUUGGAACAUAGCGUGAAAUGCGUUGCUAGUGUCAAAUCUCAUCAGCGAGGAUUAUGGAAGGCCUGUCAUUCCUCCGGUGUCCACACAGCACACCCACACUUACCAACCCCAACCAUAACUGUACGUCUUGGAAUGUGGCAGGAACCAGAGGGGAUAACUUCACUCUACUUCACUGAACUGUUCCCACAACCUAUGGACUCACUUUCAAUGUCUCUUCAUCUCAUAUUCUCAAUAUUUAUUGCUUAUUUAUUUAUUGGUAUAUAUUUUUUCUUUCUUUUUGUAUUUGCACAGUUUGCUUUUACCAGCUAUGGGAAUCGAACCCCAAUCGGUGAUUGCAGGCACUGUACAGCAACUGUCCUGACCACUACAUUACCCUGCCACCUCAAAGCAUCAUCACACAGCAUUAACUUAAAGAAGAACAGAGAGGCAGCACUCUCAGGCGUAGCAGAUCCUGCAGAGUAUAUCGGACAUUUUCUGAUUUUGUUUCAGAUUUGCAGCAUCUGCAGUUUUGAUCUCAAAAAAUGACAAGCUUCAUUGCCUAAUGUGUAGAUUUGUUGAGUACACCUACAGAAAAAGAAUCUCAGGGCUGUAUGUGGUGACGCGCAUGGACCCUGAUAAUGAAGUUUACUUGAACAAGUUUUGAUCAUCGUGUGAAACAAAGCAAGAGACAGCACUGUAAUGAGUCGUUCCAGUCCAGCGAGUCCAAUUAUACCCAUGUGACCAACUAGCGUAUUAACCCAAAAGUCUUUGGAGUUUGGAGGAAAUUGGACAGCCCAGAAGAAAGCCACGUGGUCGCAGGGAGAAUGUACAAACUCCUUACGGGCAGUGGUGGGAAAUGAAUCCGGGUCGCUGGUGCUGUAAUAGCAUUACACUAACUGCUACAUUGCCGCACCCCUCCCAUUGCGUUCGUCUCUACUACAUGACAGCGGGGGCUAAGCAAUGCACCAUGAAAAUAUCACUUCUACUUUGAGCAACUAUGCUUAACGCUUUGAGCAUCUCAAAGUUGGAUUUCACUGAACAGUCAGUUCAGUCAAAUCUGGAGAAGGGUUGUAUUCGUAUAAUAACUCCAAUUGGUACGAUGUUCUCCUUGGGGGUUGUCUAUUGGCAGGUCCUCAGGUGUCUGUAGAGGCCAGUCCAGGAUCCACAUACUCUGGUGCGGUGAGGGCAAGAGUAAGUGCUGACUGUGGUUCGUGGUCGGGUCUUUUAAUUGUUCAGUCUCUCCUUUCACAACUACCACUUGUUCUCAGUGGCACAGCGUGAUCGCUGUCAUGUAACCCAGCUCCCUCUUGAAUAGGUGCAUCCACUGGGUGCGAUGUCCUCCCAGUUUUUAUAUGCAAUGUUGAACUCCUUCAAACUGAUUUUGAUGUUAUCUUUAAAGUGUUCCCUUUGCCCACCAGGGGCUUGCUGACCUCCCUUCAACUGGGAGUAUAGCGUGUGUUUGGGGAGAUGUGAGUUAGGCAAGGGAAGGGUACCCUUCAAUGUACCACCAUCACCACGAGUCUUACAUGUGACUCAGGCUUAAACCUCCAUCCUCCCCUCCCACAUUGGGGCUCUGACUGAACCCUUACCACCAUCAUCCAUCUGUGAUGCACUGGCACACUCACAUAGCAAACACCAAACAAGGCGAGGACAGCCUUCAAUCACGUCAAUAAGACGGUGAGCCGCGGCCUCCGUUGUAACUGUGGCUCAAUUGUUUAGGUUUGUAGAAUGGUUUUGGGGCCAAAGAGGGGAGUUGGGGCUGAGGUUGGGGUUUAGGUAUGGGAUUAUGGGGGGGGGGGGAUGGGGGAGUUAGAGGCCAGGUAGGAGCCUAGGCCUCUGCUCCGUGCUCAAAGGCCAGUGACAUGGACCUAUGAUGGAGGACAUCCGGUGAGCACUGUGGAUAAGGAUGAGGGCUGGGAAACCCCUCCCCUCAGCAGGUCCCAAGAUAGGAGUUCUGUGAGGGCAGGAGGCACAAAAGGCCGGUGGUCCCUUAGCUACACCAGUCGGCAAGACCAGGGUUUGAGGCCUGAAGGUUGGGGUCCUCAUAAUCAGCAUCUCGAAAGUCCAGAUGUCGAGGCACAACAGUGGAGACCCUGGGUCUGCAGGCCUACUGGGAAAGUCAGAGGCCCAAUAAUGCAAUUGUGCAAGCCCAUUGAGGGCUGGAGGUCUGGAGGUGGUCUGUCCUGAGGUUAGGGGACUGUCUGUAUGUAUGGGUGGGAUGGUGGGGGGGGGGUGAAAGGACCUGUCCAGCUAUUGUUGCUUCAUUGCUGUUGUUCUGUGAACAUGAUGGGCACCUAUGUUGGCACUGCAAUGCCAGACGUCAUGUUUUCACAUCUCCUCCCAGCACAUCCUCAGGUUAAUAAAUACAUUUGGCCGCUCACGACCAUACUAUGUAACAGUUUCUUCCUCCGAGCUAUCAGACUCCUCAAUACCCAGAGCCUGGACUGACACUUUACUGCCAUAUUGUCAUGUCUAUUAUUUAUUGUACUGCCUGCACUGUUUUGUGCACUUUAUGCAGUCCUGGGUAGGUCUGUAGUCUAGUGUAGUUUUUUCUGUGCUGUUUUUUAUGCAGUUCAGUCUAGUUUUAGUACUGUGUCAUAUCACACCAUGGUCCUGAAAAACCGUUGUGUCAUUUUUACUAUGCACUGUAGCAGCAGUUAUGGUCGAAAUGACAAUAAAAGUGACUUGACUUGACAUCUAAAAUCUGAAUUUGAAAGCGAGAAAUAGCCGUAUGGGAGAAAGGGCGCUCAAGAGGUAGAAAAGGGAGUCACGAGUCUGGUGAAAAAGUGGUGGAAAUCCCCGGACAAGCAAGCGUCACUGGAGGGGGAAGACAGAAGCAGGGAAAUAAAACUCUGUGAAAGUGAUUCCGCCAGGAAGCAGCUUGCAAGCGCGCUCUCAGCAAGUGUAAUUCAUUCGUAAAUGAUGCAUUGUAAACUGGGGGGGGGGGGAGAAAUAACAGCGACGCCCGAAAGUGCAGCGCUGGAGAGCCCAGUGCAUAACCGAAGCAAACCCGGAACCGGGACGGGUCCGGGCGGGCGACGUGUCAGCGGCGAGCCAGCUGGAGCGGCGGGUCACGUGGGCGGGGCGGGGCGGGGCCAGUGACGUCACGGGCCCGGAGUAGCCAUGUGCUCGGUGUUCACGUGGCGGAGGCUCCAGCUGGGGUUCGCGCUGCGCAACUCUCAGGUCGGCAGGGCCACCAGCAGUCAGUCCACAGAUUAAACCCAUCUGCAUCGUGGAUACUCCCCCCCAACCCCGAAAGCUGCAUUAUUUACCAAUCCAGGGAAGCCCUUCCUCAUAACAAUUAAAACGCCGUACAGGUUAUUGCUUCGAACAUUUUUUGGAGCUCGGUUUUGUCAAUUUUGAAGUCAACUUUGCAAAGGGAGAUGAAAAAUAACUGCAUUGCUCCACGCUGAUAUUAAGGAACAAAAUGGCGGUAGAUUUAGCCGUGAUCCAGGGAAGGGAAGGGCUGGAACCCGACCGCCCCCGCCUGCCUACUUCUCCAUCGCGUGCGUGACAAAUGCAUUUUAAAACAUCUACUGUGCGGGUAGAAUACUUAUCUUUUUGUCUUUAUUUUAGUUGACGCGUGCAAAAGAAUUCAGGGAAUAUCUGCCCCCUCUGUUUUUAAAAUCUAUAUUUACCUUCAGAAUUUGAACUUUGGAAACCCAACCUUCUCUUAAAAAAACAUUUUGUUUGAUCUCAAAACCAGUCUCGUUGGCAAUUACAGAAGGAACAAACAAAAAAUAAAGAACGCUUUACUUCC